rnacentral:rRNA from 1 species
UACAGAGGGUGCAAGCGUUGUUCGGAAUUAUUGGGCGUAAAGGGCGCGUAGGCGGUUCGGCAAGUCUCUAGUGAAAUCUCUGGGCUCAACUCAGAGUCUGCUGGGGAAACUGCCGUGCUGGAGUGUGGGAGAGGUGAGUGGAAUUCCCGGUGUAGAGGUGAAAUUCGUAGAUAUCGGGAGGAACACCAGUGGCGAAGGCGGCGACCUGGACGGACACUGACGCUGAGACGCGAAAGCGUGGGGAGCAAACAGG